AUUGAACGCUGGCGGCAGGCCUAACACAUGCAAGUCGAACGAGUGGCGUACGGGUGAGUAAUGUAUGGGACACUGCCUGAUGGAGGGGGAUAACUACUGGAACCUGUAGCUAAUACCGCAUACCAUCAGAUGUGCCCAGAUGGGAUUAGCUAGUUGGUGGGGUAACGGCUUACCAAGGCGACGAUCCCUAGCUGGUCUGAGAGGAUGACCAGUCACACUGGAACUGAGACACGGUCCAGACUCCUACGGGAGGCAGCAGUGGGGAAUAUUGCACAAUGGGCGAAAGCCUGAUGCAGCCAUGCCGCGUGUAUGAAGAAGGUCUUCGGGUUGUAAAGUACUUUAAGCGGGGAGGCGUUACCAGCAGAAGAAGCACCGGCUAACUCCGUGCCAGCAGCCGCGGUAAUAC
rnacentral:rRNA from 1 species